AUUGAACGCUGGCGGCAGGCCUAACACAUGCAAGUCGAACGAGUGGCGGACGGGUGAGUAAUGUCUGGGAAACUGCCCGAUGGAGGGGGAUAACUACGGUAAACGGUAGAUAAUGCUGCAUACGAUCGGAUGGGCCCAGGUGGGAUUAGCUAGCAGGUGGGGUAAUGGCUCACCAAGGCGACGAUCCCUAGCUGGUCUGAGAGGCUGACCGGCCACACUGGAACUGAGACACGGUCCAGACUCCUACGGGAGGCAGCAGUGGGGAAUAUUGCACAAUGGGCGAAAGCCUGAUGGAGCCAUGCCGCGUGUGUGAAGAAGGCCUUCGGGUUGUAAAGUACUUUUGGUGGGGAGGCGUUACCCGCAGAGAAAGCACCGGCUAACUCCGUGCCAGCAGCCGCGGUAAUAC
rnacentral:rRNA from 1 species